AAGAUAAAAUAUUAAUGUGAGCAAGUUGGAUAGAUGGUGGCUAAUCUUGUAUAAAUGGGGUGAUGCCUAUGAAAUAUGGUUUAACUCCUAGAAAGGUGUAAUAUUGACUGAUUAUGAAUUACUGAUGAUUGUCAUAUCAAUCAUUGGUUUAGUAUUAAUUAGUAA
rnacentral:sRNA from 1 species